CAAUAGCGUAUAUUUAAGUUGUUGCAGUUAAAAAGCUCGUAGUUGGAUUUCGGUUAAGAGCGACCGGUCCGCCGUUUGGUGUGCACUGGUUGGUUUUAACUUCCUGUAGAGGACGUGCUCUGGGUUUAACGACCUGGACUCGGAGUCUACGUGGUUACUUUGAAAAAAUUAGAGUGUUCAAAGCGGGCUUACGCUUGAAUAUUUCAGCAUGGAAUAACACUAUAGGACUCCUGUCCUAUUUCGUUGGUCUCGGGACGGGAGUAAUGAUUAAGAGGAACAGUUGGGGGCAUUAGUAUUUCAUUGUCAGAGGUGAAAUUCUUGGAUUUAUGAAAGACGAACUUCUGCGAAAGCAUUUGCCAAGGAUGUUUUCAUUAA
rnacentral:rRNA from 1 species